AUUUUUUUGAGCUUAUUUAUUCAAAAUAAAACCUGCUCAAUGUUUAAUUUUAUAAAUAGCUGCAGAUUUUCUGUACUAAGGUAGCAUAAUCAUUAGCCUUAUAAUUGAAGGAUAGAAUGAAUGGUUUAACGCAAUAUAUACUGUUUCUAGCAUUUUAUUUAAAUUAAAAUAAAAGUAAAAAUUCUUUUAUAAAUAAAAAAGACAACAAGACCCUAAUAAACUUAUUAUUUAACUGGGGUGGUAUAUUAAUAAUUACUUAAAUUCUAACAUAAUUAAUCUAAUAUAAUUAAUUUAUAUAGUUACUAUAGGGAUAACAGCGCUACUUUAAUUUAAAGAUCUCAUUAAAAUUAAAAUCUACGACCUCGAUGUUGAAUUAACUAACCUUUAAUUAAAGCAAAAUUUUUAAAAGAGGGUCUGU
rnacentral:rRNA from 1 species